AUUGAACGCUGGCGGCAGGCCUAACACAUGCAAGUCGAGCGGAGCGGCGGCCGCGUGCGUAAUGCCUAGGAAUCUGCCUGUUAGUGGGGGAUAACGUCCGGAACCGGGCGCUAAUACCGCAUACUCUCGGAUGAGGCUAGGCCGGAUUAGCUAGUUGGGGGGGUAAAGGCCUACCAAGGCGACGAUCCGUAUCUGGUCUGAGAGGAUGAUCAGUCACACUGGAACUAAGACACGGUCCAGACUCCUACGGGAGGCAGCAGUGGGGAAUAUUGGACAAUGGGCGAAAGCCUGAUGCAGCCAUGCCGCGUGUGUGAAGAAGGCCUUCGGAUUGUAAAGCACUUUAAGUUGGGAGGCGUUACCAACAGAAUAAGCACCGGCUAACUUCGUGCCAGCAGCCGCGGUAAUAC
rnacentral:rRNA from 1 species